AAGUGACAAUGCAAGCAACAUCGGUCAGAGAUAUCAAACCUCGAGGAUCUCCAAGGAGUGAUGUUGUACGCAUCACACGAUCAUAGGAGAACCGGAACAAAGACCAGGAAUUCUAUGAGAUAGGAUUCAUGUUCGUUCAUCAUUCGGGCACCGCCAUAGAAGGUUCCCUGCUCGAAGACCGUAUAGAUCAGUUCAAGGACAAACUAAAAGAAGGCAGAGUAUACAAACUGGAGUCCUUCAUGACUUUCUCGCAAAUGCCCUACCUGCCGCACCCAAACGAGCGCUGCAGGUAUAGUUAUGGGCAAACAAACAGCAAGUAUCAGAUAAAUAAUUGCAUCUUAUGGAUGCACAUCCUAAAAGGCAGUUCAUACAAGCUGAAGGUUAGCGCAGUACAUGUCGAGCCGAACGCUGAAGACUUAUCCAUCAGUCACCGCCUGACAUUCUUUGGUAACUGCGCCGAGGCUCUAACGGGCAAAGAAGCAGAACUUCUUGCUCCACUUACUAAAGGCUGUCCUAAUUAUGUCCCUCCUGCUGUUAUUGCCGCAGUUGGCAAGAAGUGCACUAUCACUGCGGAGGUAGACCAGGAAACCUAUGAUGCUAAUCCUGGAAUAGUAUUCCUUACCAUCUCAAAGGCCCAGCUAAUCACCGAUUCAGUGCAAGUAGUGGAACCUUCUACCCACACUAGCCCUGCAAUAACUGACAAAUGCGAUUACACCGGCUGACGACCUCCCAGAAGGCAGCUCCUCACAGGCAACCUCCGAAAGACAUACUUGAACCUAUCAAUGCUGACGAAGAGGAGGACAUGGGUAAGGGAAACAAAGACAAGAAGAGGAAGAGCACUCACUUCAAGAAAGGACCUGCAAGUAAACUUUGCCUUUUCAGACUACCGUCGCAGGAUAGGACUAGGACAAGCACACCAUCAAGGCGCGAGACAAAUAAACGAAGCACUCACCUACAUAUGAAGUUUCUUACCAGCCUCUCACCUCUGCCUCUCAAGUUUAUGUUAUCUAAUAGUAUCCCAGAUCAGUAGCAUUGCAAUCUCCCAAGGUUGCAUACGUAAGACUCUAUAUGUAAAAGUUUGCUCUUCAGACCGUGCUACUAUCUAUGUAUAAUUAUCCAGUAUGUAAACCUUUGUUCUCUA